CAGCCGCCACGGUAAUGCGGAGGGGGCUAGCGUUGUUCGGAAUUACUGGGCGUAAAGCGUACGUAGGCGGUUUUGUAAGUUAGAGGUGAAAGCCCGGAGCUCAACUCCGGAAUUGCCUUUAAGACUGCAUCACUUGAAUCGUGGAGAGGUGAGUGGAAUUCCGAGUGUAGAGGUGAAAUUCGUAGAUAUUCGGAAGAACACCAGUGGCGAAGGCGGCUCACUGGACACGUAUUGACGCUGAGGUACGAAAGCGUGGGGAGCAAACAGGAUUAGAUACCCCGGUAGUCCCUGUCUCUUAUAC
rnacentral:rRNA from 1 species